UGGAGCUCCAGGCCAAGGUAACGAGCAAAUUCUUCUUCGAGGUUGAGAUCGGCGGGAAGCGCGUGGGCAAGGUGGUCAUCGGGCUCUUCGGCGAGGUCGUCCCAAAGAUGAUUGACAACUUCCGUGCCCUGUGCACUGGAGAAAAAGGGGAUGUAUACAAGGGCUGCUUCUUCCACCGAAUCAUCAAAGGAUUUCAUGAUUCAGGGUGGGGAUUUUGCAGGAAAACAAUGUCUGAAGAGCAUUAGUGGCCUCUGUUCAGCCUUUUCUCUUCAUCUAUUCUGCAGCCGCUGUUGGUGGACAACGGCGGCCUCAGGUGGUGCAUGGUGGGUCCUGCCAAGUCACCGACACGAUUUCUCCCACGCAGGUG